rnacentral:rRNA from 1 species
AGUCGUACGCUUUUUCUUUCCCGGAGCUUGCUCCACCGAAAGAAAAGGAGUGGCGAACGGGUGAGUAACACGUGGGUAACCUGCCCAUCAGAAGGGGAUAACACUUGGAAACAGGUGCUAAUACCGUAUAACAAUCGAAACCGCAUGGUUUUGAUUUGAAAGGCGCUUUCGGGUGUCGCUGAUGGAUGGACCCGCGGUGCAUUAGCUAGUUGGUGAGGUAACGGCUCACCAAGGCCACGAUGCAUAGCCGACCUGAGAGGGUGAUCGGCCACAUUGGGACUGAGACACGGCCCAAACUCCUACGGGAGGCAGCAGUAGGGAAUCUUCGGCAAUGGACGAAAGUCUGACCGAGCAACGCCGCGUGAGUGAAGAAGGUUUUCGGAUCGUAAAACUCUGUUGUUAGAGAAGAACAAGGAUGAGAGUAACUGUUCAUCCCUUGACGGUAUCUAACCAGAAAGCCACGGCUAACUACGUGCCAGCAGCCGCGGUAAUACGUAGGUGGCAAGCGUUGUCCGGAUUUAUUGGGCGUAAAGCGAGCGCAGGCGGUUUCUUAAGUCUGAUGUGAAAGCCCCCGGCUCAACCGGGGAGGGUCAUUGGAAACUGGGAGACUUGAGUGCAGAAGAGGAGAGUGGAAUUCCAUGUGUAGCGGUGAAAUGCGUAGAUAUAUGGAGGAACACCAGUGGCGAAGGCGACUCUCUGGUCUGUAACUGACGCUGAGGCUCGAAAGCGUGGGGAGCAAACAGGAUUAGAUACCCUGGUAGUCCACGCCGUAAACGAUGAGUGCUAAGUGUUGGAGGGUUUCCGCCCUUCAGUGCUGCAGCUAACGCAUUAAGCACUCCGCCUGGGGAGUACGACCGCAAGGUUGAAACUCAAAGGAAUUGACGGGGGCCCGCACAAGCGGUGGAGCAUGUGGUUUAAUUCGAAGCAACGCGAAGAACCUUACCAGGUCUUGACAUCCUUUGACCACUCUAGAGAUAGAGCUUCCCCUUCGGGGGCAAAGUGACAGGUGGUGCAUGGUUGUCGUCAGCUCGUGUCGUGAGAUGUUGGGUUAAGUCCCGCAACGAGCGCAACCCUUAUUGUUAGUUGCCAUCAUUUAGUUGGGCACUCUAGCAAGACUGCCGGUGACAAACCGGAGGAAGGUGGGGAUGACGUCAAAUCAUCAUGCCCCUUAUGACCUGGGCUACACACGUGCUACAAUGGGAAGUACAACGAGUCGCGAAGUCGCGAGGCUAAGCUAAUCUCUUAAAGCUUCUCUCAGUUCGGAUUGUAGGCUGCAACUCGCCUACAUGAAGCCGGAAUCGCUAGUAAUCGCGGAUCAGCACGCCGCGGUGAAUACGUUCCCGGGCCUUGUACACACCGCCCGUCACACCACGAAAGUUUGUAACACCCGAAGUCGGUGA